rnacentral:rRNA from 1 species
AGUGAACGCUGGCGGUAGGCCUAACACAUGCAAGUCGAACGGCAGCACAGUAAGAGCUUGCUCUUACGGGUGGCGAGUGGCGGACGGGUGAGGAAUACAUCGGAAUCUACUUUUUCGUGGGGGAUAACGUAGGGAAACUUAUGCUAAUACCGCAUACGACCUACGGGUGAAAGCAGGGGAUCUUCGGACCUUGCGCGAUUGAAUGAGCCGAUGUCGGAUUAGCUAGUUGGCGGGGUAAAGGCCCACCAAGGCGACGAUCCGUAGCUGGUCUGAGAGGAUGAUCAGCCACACUGGAACUGAGACACGGUCCAGACUCCUACGGGAGGCAGCAGUGGGGAAUAUUGGACAAUGGGCGCAAGCCUGAUCCAGCCAUACCGCGUGGGUGAAGAAGGCCUUCGGGUUGUAAAGCCCUUUUGUUGGGAAAGAAAAGCAGCAGGUUAAUACCCCGCUGUUCUGACGGUACCCAAGGAAUAAGCACCGGCUAACUUCGUG